UGGGGAAUCUUGGACAAUGGGCGCAAGCCUGAUCCAGCCAUGCCGCGUGAGUGAAGAAGGCCUUAGGGUUGUAAAACUCUUUCGCCGGAGAAGAUAAUGACGGUAUCCGGAGAAGAAGCCCCGGCUAACUUCGUGCCAGCAGCCGCGGUAAUACGAGGGGGGCUAGCGUUGUUCGGAAUUACUGGGCGUAAAGCGCACGUAGGCGGGUUUGUAAGUAGGGGGUGAAAUCCCAGGGCUCAACCCUGGAACUGCCUUCUAAACUGCAAGCCUGGAGGUCAGGAGAGGCGAGUGGAAUACCGAGUGUAGAGGUGAAAUUCGUAGAUAUUCGGUGGAACACCAGUGGCGAAGGCGACUCGCUGGACUGAUACUGACGCUGAGGUGCGAAAGCGUGGGGAGCAAACAGGAUUAGAUACCCAUGUAGUCCCUGAGCGGGCUGGCAAGGCGCAU
rnacentral:rRNA from 1 species